rnacentral:rRNA from 1 species
GACGAACGCUGGCGGCGUGCUUAACACAUGCAAGUCGAACGGAAAGGCCCUGCUUUUGUGGGGUGCUCGAGUGGCGAACGGGUGAGUAACACGUGAGUAACCUGCCCUUGACUUUGGGAUAACUUCAGGAAACUGGGGCUAAUACCGGAUAGGAGCUCCUGCUGCAUGGUGGGGGUUGGAAAGUUUCGGCGGUUGGGGAUGGACUCGCGGCUUAUCCGCUUGUUGGUGGGGUAGUGGCUUACCAAGGCUUUGACGGGUAGCCGGCCUGAGAGGGGGAACGGCCACAUUGGGCCUGAGAUACGGCCCAGACGCCUACGGGAGGCAGUAGUGGGGAAUAUGGCACAAUGGGCGGAAGCCUGAUGCAGCAACGCCGCGUGCGGGAUGACGGCCUUCGGGUUGUAAACCGCUUUCGCCGGUGACGAAGCGUGAGUGACGGUAAUGGGUAAAGAAGCACCGGCUAACUACGUG